rnacentral:SRP_RNA from 1 species
UCUUUAGACCCUUACAAUUAUUAUCUAAGGCAAUGCCCCAGGAUGGGAACAUAGCAAGGCACUUUAUUUAGUGGUGUGUUUGGGUAUCUGGAGAAGA